AACGAACGCUGGCGGCAUGCCUAACACAUGCAAGUCGAACGAGACCUUCGGGUCUAGUGGCGCACGGGUGCGUAACGCAUGGGAACCUGCCCUUAGGUUCGGAAUAACUCCCCGAAAGGGGUGCUAAUACCGGAUAAUAUCUUCGGACCAAAGAUUUAUCGCCUUUGGAUGGGCCCGCGUUGGAUUAGCUAGUUGGUAGGGUAAAAGCCUACCAAGGCGACGAUCCAUAGCUGGUCUGAGAGGAUGAUCAGCCACACUGGGACUGAGACACGGCCCAGACUCCUACGGGAGGCAGCAGUGGGGAAUAUUGGACAAUGGGCGAAAGCCUGAUCCAGCAAUGCCGCGUGAGUGAUGAAGGCCUUAGGGUUGUAAAGCUCUUUUACCCGGGAUGAUAAUGACAGUACCGGGAGAAUAAGCUCCGGCUAACUCCGUG
rnacentral:rRNA from 1 species